CUUUAUGGCCAUGCCACCCUGAACAAGCCCAAUCCUGUCUGAUCUCGGAAGCUAAGCAGGAUCGGGCCUGGUUAGUACUUGGAUGGAAGACCACCUAGGAAUACCAAGUGCUGUAGGCA
rnacentral:rRNA from 1 species